GCCUCGGUGCUGUAGUGGUAGCACGCGUCCCCGGUAUGGAUAAAAUGCGGAUUCAACUCCCGUCUGAGGUC